CCCUCGGCUCUAUUGAAGAUCUGAUCCACCCCACAUUGAUUGAGUUCACACUCAACCAAGACUCCAAAUCUGGACUGCCUUCGGCCGGUUUUGGCAGGGUUCCGUCAACGAAACCGUUUUUCUUCUUUGCUCUAAGAGCAUUCAUCAUCUCCAUCGCCCAUUCGUUGUAAUUGUCACCUUUCAACUGAACGAACGUGAUCAAAGCACCCGGAUUAUCCGACGAGAACAAAGUGUAUGGUGAUGUUAUCACUGUAUUACUCUGUUUCGUCACCACUUGCUUCGAUUCAUCUUGAUCACCCAUCUCUCAGCUCGUGUGUUAAACGUUUUUAUGCUGAUCGACGCUCUGAUACCAUGUAAAUAAACACAAUAGAUGUAACUGGAAAAGAUGGUUUUGUUCAUUCAUUCACACGAGUAUAUAUAUUACAAUGUACACCGACGUUUGCCGUUAAGAUAUUAUCUCCUAGAUUACAUCAUUAUCUCUAACUCUCUUAAGUAUAUCCUAACACAUUGUUAUUAUCCUCCGAUAUCUCCUCCAAUAAAAUUUCUGAUUUUUUCUUAUAAUACUCUAAUGUUGUAAAACAAUUUACGUAAUAUUAUAUUCUGAAAAUCAGUUUGUAUAUAUUUGUAUUCAAAACCAAAUAAAGCACUCUAAGGCAACAAUGGAUCCAUUGCUAAAUGUGCUAAAUAAAUCAUUCCUUUGCUAUUAAAACGUAUUUGUUGGUAAUUUGAAUCCAACAUUUUAGAUACAAACAUUUCUAGCCAAAUAUGUAGCUACAUUAGCUACGUCAUUGCUAAGGAUAAGCAAUAGUUAACUCUAUAGCAAUUUAGCUACGCAAGAUCUAUCGCCGAGAUUGUUGCUAUUGAGCAACGGACCACUCUUUAGCCAUGUUGUAGCUGUUAGCUACGGCCAAUUCUCUUGCAAAAUCCGUAGCGAGUGAGUUGCAAAAUCCGAGAUAGCGUCGACACUGACGCCACGAUUCAUAUCCGUAGCCAUCCGUUGCGUUCUUUAUUCUAGCGACAGAUUGUCCCUUUUAGCUUGGAAAAAAUCAGUAGCUAUUUGAUUGAUUUCUUGUAGUGGAAGAAGGCCGACCAAGCUGAAGGCAUCGUAUGUUAUUUCCCCACAACCUACCUUUUAUUAUUUCAAAGACUGUAUUUCGGUUGGUUCUUUUAAUUUUUACUAUGCCCUUUGAUUUAGCAGUGUUGUUUUUGUUUUGGCUUUGCUAAUUAUGUUUUUGUGUGAUUAUGAAUCUGCAGAUGGGGAGUUUGUUAAGUCUGCUCUAGUUAGUUUUAUAUCCGCCAACAAGCUUUAUUUGGUCUCUGUUUUCACAAGAAUUUUUGAGAGUGCAAUCAAGAAGCAUUUGUUAUUAUUUGCAGCCAAAAACAACUCUGAAAAAGUUCUUCCAGAGUUUUAAGAAGCAGCAAAAUCAUUUAAAGGAAAGGUAGGAACAUAGGUAGUAACUCUGAUUUAUUUUUGAUAUGCUUUGUUUCACAUCAAGAAAAGUACAUGAAUAUAUGAUCUUUGGAGGCAACGAUGGCUAAGAUUACUUCUGAGAAGCCUUUGUUUCUUGCAAGUUGCAACAGCUCAUGUUUAAUUUGUACAUGUGGAUGUGGAUAACGAGGAUUAUGGGAAGCCAGUUGCUGACUACUUUGGUGUGUCUGGCGAUGGUCCUAAAGAGAAGGCUCCCCAAGGCUGAUAAGCGCAAGGUUGAGUAUGAGAAGACAAGAAACUCGGUUUGCCCUGAGUCAUUCACAAGCAGAGGAGGAGAAAAAAGAAAAGUUCCGGUGUUGCCUAAGAUUGACGGUGGUAGCGGCAGUAUAAUGUUUAUGUUUAGGUUUCUGGUUUUUUUUGUCACUUAGGUUUCUGGUUUAGUUUUG